rnacentral:rRNA from 1 species
CACGUAGGGCGCAAGCGUUGUCCGGAAUUAUUGGGCGUAAAGAGCUCGUAGGCGGUCUGUUGCGUCCGCUGUGAAAACUCGGGGCUUAACCCCGAGCCUGCAGUGGAUACGGGCAGACUAGAGGUAGGUAGGGGAGAAUGGAAUUCCCGGUGUAGCGGUGAAAUUCGUAGAUAUCAAGCGGAACACCGGUGGCGAAGGCGGCCUUCUGGACAGUGACUGGCGCUGAGACGCGAAAGCGUGGGGAGCAAACAGG